rnacentral:rRNA from 1 species
GACGAACGCUGGCGGCGUGCUUAACACAUGCAAGUCGAACGGAAAGGCCCUGCUUUUGUGGGGUGCUCGAGUGGCGAACGGGUGAGUAACACGUGAGUAACCUGCCCUUGACUUUGGGAUAACUUCAGGAAACUGGGGCUAAUACCGGAUAGGAGCUCCUGCUGCAUGGUGGGGGUUGGAAAGUUUCGGCGGUUGGGGAUGGACUCGCGGCUUAUCAGCUUGUUGGUGGGGCAGUGGCUUACCAAGGCUUUGACGGGUAGCCGGCCUGAGAGGGUGACCGGCCACAUUGGGACUGAGAUACGGCUCAGACUCCUACGGGAGGCAGCAGGGGGGAAUAUUGCACAAGGGGCGGAAGCCUGAUGCAGCAACGCCGCGUGCGGGAUGACGGCCUUCGGGUUGUAAACCGCUUUCGCCUGUGACGAAGCGUGAGUGACGGUAAUGGGUAAAGAAGCACCGGCUAACUACGUG